UUAACAUUGUUGAACUCGGUGAUUAGACUACCGUUUUUUACAUUACAGGGUACAGCAGGAAAAUACCAGAAAGGGUUUGAAGCUGGGACAAAAUCCGAGUUACUCACAACCGAGCUCAAGGUAAUAUCACUAACCUUCACUACUUUGGUGGUUCAUAUUUAAGACCUUUUCUUCAAUUUGAAUUUCAACCGAAAGCUAUCUAACCAAUAAGCUUGGUCGCUUUAACCCCAUCAACAUGUUGAAUACCCUUCUCUGCAAAUGCAUCACUUUCGCAGCAACAUCACGUUACCCUCUUUUCCACCACUACCCAUUACCAUUUUCUCUGCGUUUCUACACCACAACCACUUCAAAUUCACGCUCCUUUGCGGUAUCCUACCUCAUCCACAAUUUUGGGUUCUCCCCUGAAUCUGCUUCCAAAGUUUCUGAAAACCACAAAAUUUAUUUCCGUACCCCGGAAAAGCCUGAGUCAGUAAUCAGGUUCUUCAGAGACCACGGUUUUUCUGACUCCCAAAUAAACAAUAUGGUUAGAAGGGUACCUAGGCUGAUUUCCUGCAACCCUUGCAAAAGGGUAUUGCCCAAGUUUGAAUUUUUACUCUCGAAAGGUGUUUCUAGCUCUGAAAUUGUUGACCUAAUUAGUAAGUACCCUUUAAUGUUGACUCGAAGCCUGAAGAAUUUUAUAGUGCCAACCUACGAAUUGGUAUAUAGAUUCUUGCAAUCUGAUAAGAACACUGUUGCUUGUAUGUUUGCUAAUUCAUCUGUCUUUGGUAGCGGCUAUCUUGUGGCACACAACGUCAGUGUGAUGCUUAAGAAUGGAUUGAGUGAAUCAAACAUUGCAAGAUUGCUUCGGUACCGUAGUAAGGCGGUGUUCCGUGCAACGGAUAUUCUUAAAGUGGUGAGGGAAGUAAAGGAUUUGGGAUUUGAUCCUUCAAAAGUUGCUUUUGUUAUGGCAUUGCUAGCCAUAAAACGUUACGAUCAAAACUUGUGGAAGGAGAAAGUUGACGUCUUCAAGAAAUGGGGUUGGUCUGAUGAAACCUUUCUUGAAGCAUUUAGGAGGCACCCUCACUGUAUGUUGACAUCCACUGACAAAAUAAAUAUAGUGAUGAAUUUUUGGGUCAAUCAGAUGGGGUGGGAUGCUUUAGCCCUUGUCAAAGGUCCAAAGAUUUUCGGGUUGAGUAUGGAGAAAACAAUCAUUCCAAGAGCCUCAAUAGUGCAGUUGCUUCUUGAGAAAGGUUUGCGAAAAAGGAGUGCAAGCAUAACUUGCCCCAUUAUGAUACCUGAAAAGAGGUUCCUGAACAGGUUUAUAAAAUGUUUUAAGGAGGAGUCUUCUGAUCUGUUAAAGUUGUAUGCGGAAAAGCUGAAUCUUGCGUAUUCCAGGGAGAAGUCUGGAAUGUUGUGCACCAAAUAAGUAACUUCUUAAUCAAUUUUCAUAUAGUUUCAAUGUCUUGUUCCUUCUUCAGUUUAAGUACUUGUUCAAUAUAGACUACAACUGGAGCUAGUAUAGCUAACUGGUUUCAUUUGCAAAUUUGGUCCACUCUAGUUAUUGUUUUCAUUAUUUGUUUUUUUUCACUAUUGCGAUGUUUAUCAGUCUUUUUGCCAGCAAAUAGCAACACUAGCAAAAGUUCAAAUCGUCUUGUCUUGCAUGUGUGAUCAUGAAAUAAUUGUGAUAGAUUUGUUUCUCUCACAUUAGGUUGCUGGACUUGUAAUGGUUUUAAAUUGCAGUUUUAGUUGUGAUUAUGAUUUCUUUGCAAUUGCCAAAAUAAUGAAAAGUUAUGAGCAAAUGCAGCCACAAAGGCUGUUAUGUAGACCUUCAAUCCUCAAUAUUGUGGCGUUAAUAAUACCAUAAUCAGGUCAUAUACACUGCACUUAAUUUUUUCACAUAUUGGCAAGUUACUCAUUAUUUUUACCCUUUGGUUAAACUGAUUUGGAUAAUGUGUAGUUAGGUUUAAAUAGCAGAGGUAUUUAUUUAUUUUAAUUAACUGCCAUUUAGUCCUUGUUCUUCAGUUUUUUUCUUUUCUCGAGUGCAUGAUAACUAAGCAAUAAGAAUUUCUUGAACAGUUUGUUCCCACGUACUUUUUGAGGAAAUAUUUUACUUAAUUGUUUCUGGGUAUUGUGUAUUUCCGUUAUGCUUUUACAUGUUGACACUGAACACUAAAAUGAAGCAUUCUUACCUUAAGGCUCAUGCUUCUGCUUCGUUGAAGCAAUAUGGUGAAGAAAACUUGGGCCCUUCUAUGCCAGAAAAUAAUUCAGGACUGCGUGGCAGAUUUCACAUGUUCCAGAUCAAAUUUUCACUCAUGUAUGUGGCAAGAAGUGUGUUCUUAUUGUGGACGGGGUAGCCAUUCGCUGACUUUGUGCAGAAAGAGUAUGAGACAUCACCUAUUUCCAUUGAAGUUUGAAAGAUAGCUGAUUGUUAUGUCAACUAAUCUAGGGCAACUGGUAUAGCAUUAUUAUGGAAUGCUGGGUAGGUAUAUGCAAAUAGAAGGGACAUAUUAGGGUGUGUUUAUUAACCCCUUUGGAGCCUUGUAAACAGAAGUUCCUGCUUUCCAAAGCAGCAAAUGUAGAAGGAAUGCGGCAGAUGGAUUGGUGUUCAAUUGAACCCAAUUGAGUUCCAAACACACACUUAGUCUUAGGGGCUUUCCUGUUUUAGCAUUCCUUUGUUAUCUGAUGUUUGAUUGAAGUGUAAAAAGCAAUAUGUUAAGAACCAUCCCUCGUAAGCUAAUAGUUGCAGAAGCUGUAGCCUUUAAGCCAAAAACCUUGUGGGUAUGAACUUUGAUGCCUAUCUUUGGACGGGGUGGUCCAGAGAUACCAUUCUUGAAGCAUUGAUUAAGCAAGCCAUAGUGAAUGUUCUUAUUGAGAGAUAAAAUUAAUGCUGUGGCGAUAUUUUGCUUGAA